UCGAACCAGUUGGCUCAAGUGGUUCAAUGCCUCAUGAGGCUUCAUCUCACCAUCACUAAUUUAUGCUCCGUGGCCACCCCUGGCGAUGUCCUGGCCACCCCACCGGCCAGUGUAAAUGGUAGUAGCGUCAGUUUAGCAUUUCAUCCCAUUAUGCACAGCCAGCAACACCGCUGCUCUUCUUGACUUUCUUGCGCACCGUAGCUCACCCUGCUGCUCCCCCUCCCCCGCACGCCCGCCCUCCCCCUCCCUUCUAGCCGCUGCUGCGUUCUCGGACAACUACGGCUCAGCGCGUGCCCGCCUUCAACGGUGAUAAAAGGAAUUCAUAGAGAAAGCAAAUACGACUAACGAUAUAUCCCAGUCAAGACUAGAACGGCCCAGGCAGCCACAACUAAAAAUCUUCCCUCGAACCUGUCAUGGAGACAGAAGAAGAUGCUUUUCUAAAGACU